rnacentral:other from 1 species
GUAGCCAAGGAUGUUGGCAACCUCAGGAUGAGGUCGGUAUAUCAGGAAGAUGUAUCGGACAAGGACUGUGAAGGGAACAUCGAACGGAAGCGAUAGAGUAGGUAGGACACUUACUCGUCAGGACGACAGACAUGGACCACUUCAGGAUGAAGUUAGGGACACCUCCAGGACGGAGAAGAGAGUCGAGACAAGACGUUUCGACGGGUCAAGGUGAUGACCAAAAGGACAUAUCCAGGACGGAUACUAAGGGAAGACGCUGACGGAAACAGCAUCAAUCAUGGAAUGAUGCAGGGAGCACCAUAGUAGCCGGAUUGCUGCAAGUAAGACCAAAGGGCGCGACGAAAGUCGCGCCCGCUCUUUUUUGG